CCACCGGCCGUGGGAGUGGUGCCUGGCUUUGUAAUUAUUGUUUUUUUUGCUUUAUUUCUGUUUGAACUCAAUUACUGCCAUGGAUUGGACACUUCCACUGAAAUCUGCGCAUCGAGACAGGAAUUUCUCACGACUCCGUCUGCGAAUGGUGUCGAAAAACAGCCACUUGGCAAGGAAGGGGUCCCCACAUUGGACAAAUUACUUGCAGAGAGAGAACGUGGCAGCACAGAACUCUUCUCUGGCACUUCCCUCCCUGGCUCCCAGCCUGCGAAGGGAGUGUCAGAAAUCAAAACCUACCAGCUUGUCAUCCUCCUGAGAGACUCUCUGCAG